rnacentral:rRNA from 1 species
GGGCCCGCACAAGCGGUGGAGUAUGUGGUUUAAUUCGAUGCAACGCGAAGAACCUUACCAGGGUUUGACAUCCUGCGAAUUUCUUGGAAACGAGAAAGUGCCUUCGGGAACGCAGUGACAGGUGGUGCAUGGCUGUCGUCAGCUCGUGUCGUGAGAUGUUGGGUUAAGUCCCGCAACGAGCGCAACCCACGUCUUUAGUUGCCAGCAUUUAGUUGGGCACUCUAGAGAGACUGCCGGUGAUAAACCGGAGGAAGGUGUGGAUGACGUCAAGUCCUCAUGGCCCUUACGGGAUGGGCUACACACGUGCUACAAUGGUAGGUACAGAGGGCAGCUACACAGCGAUGUGAUGCGAAUCUCAAAAAGCCUAUCGUAGUCCAGAUUGGAGUCUGCAACUCGACUCCAUGAAGUAGGAAUCGCUAGUAAUCG